GUGCCAGCCGCCGCGGUAAUACCAGCCCCGCGAGUGGUUGGGACGUUUACUAGGCCUAAAGCGCCCGUAGCCGGCCCGGUAAGUCCCUCCUUAAAGCCCCGGGCUCAACCCGGGGAGCGGGGGGAUACUGCCGGGCUAGGGGGCGGGAGAGGCCGGGGGUACCCCAGGGGUAGGGGCGAAAUCCGAUAAUCCCUGGGGGACCACCAGUGGCGAAGGCGCCCCGCUAGAACGCGCCCGACGGUGAGAGGCGAAAGCCGGGGCAGCAAAAGGGAUUAGAUACCCCUGUAGUCCCGGCUGUAAACGAUGCCGGCUAGGUGUCGCGUGGGCUUAGAGCCCACGCGGUGCCGCAGGGAAGCCGUUAAGCCGGCCGCCUGGGGAGUACGGCCGCAAGGCUGAAACUUAAAGGAAUUGGCGGGGGGGCACACAAGGGGUGGAGCCUGCGGCUCAAUUGGAGUCAACGCCGGGAACCUCUACCGGGGGCGACAGCAGGAUGACGGCCAGGCUAACGACCUUGCCCGACGCGCUGAGGGGAGGUGCAUGGCCGUCGCCAGCUCGUGCUGUGAAGUGUCCUGUUAAGUCAGGCAACGAGCGAGACCCCCGCCCCUAGUUGCGACCCUGCGGGCGACCGCGGGGGCACACUAGGGGGACUGCCGCCGCUAAGGCGGAGGAAGGAGGGGGCCACGGCAGGUCAGCAUGCCCCUAAACCCCCGGGCUGCACGCGGGCUACAAUGGCGGGGACAGCGGGAUCCGACCCCGAGAAGGGGGAGGCAAUCCCUGAAACCCCGCCGUAGUUGGGAUCGGGGGCUGAAACUCGCCCCCGUGAACCUGGAAUCCCUAGUAACCGCGCGUCACCAUCGCGCGGUGAAUACGUCCCUGCCCCUUGUACACACCGCCCGUC
rnacentral:rRNA from 1 species